AGCGUAGACGGCGAAGCAAGUCUGAAGUGAAAACUCAGGGCUCAACCCUGGGACUGCUUUGGAAACUGUUUUGCUAGAGUGUCGGAGAGGUAAGUGGAAUUCCUAGUGUAGCGGUGAAAUGCGUAGAUAUUAGGAGGAACACCAGUGGCGAAGGCGGCUUACUGGACGAUAACUGACGUUGAGGCUCGAAAGCGUGGGGAGCAAACA
rnacentral:rRNA from 1 species